rnacentral:rRNA from 1 species
GACGAACGCUGGCGGCGUGCUUAACACAUGCAAGUCGAACGAAAAGGCCCUGCUUGCAGGGUACUCGAGUGGCGAACGGGUGAGUAACACGUGGGUGAUCUGCCCUGCACUUCGGGAUAAGCCUGGGAAACUGGGUCUAAUACCGGAUAGGAGCCAUUUUUAGUGUGAUGGUUGGAAAGUUUUUUCGGUGUAGGAUGAGCUCGCGGCCUAUCAGCUUGUUGGUGGGGUAAUGGCCUACCAAGGCGGCGACGGGUAGCCGGCCUGAGAGGGUGGACGGCCACAUUGGGACUGAGAUACGGCCCAGACUCCUACGGGAGGCAGCAGUGGGGAAUAUUGCACAAUGGGCGCAAGCCUGAUGCAGCGACGCCGCGUGGGGGAUGACGGCCUUCGGGUUGUAAACUCCUUUCGCUAGGGACGAAGCUUUUUGUGACGGUACCUAGAUAAGAAGCACCGGCUAACUACGUG